rnacentral:rRNA from 1 species
GAUGAACGCUGGCGGCGUGCCUAAUACAUGCAAGUCGAGCGAACAGACGAGGAGCUUGCUCUUCUGACGUUAGCGGCGGACGGGUGAGUAACACGUGGAUAACCUACCUAUAAGACUGGGAUAACUUCGGGAAACCGGAGCUAAUACCGGAUAAUAUAUUGAACCGCAUGGUUCAAUAGUUCAAGACGGUUUUGCUGUCACUUAUAGAUGGAUCCGCGCCGGAUUAGCUAGUUGGUAAGGUAACGGCUUACCAAGGCAACGAUGCGUAGCCGACCUGAGAGGAUGAUCGGCCACACUGGAACUGAGACACGGUCCAGACUCCUACGGGAGGCAGCAGUGGGGAAUCUUCCGCAAUGGGCGAAAGCCUGACGGAGCAACGCCGCGUGAGUGAUGAAGGUCUUCGGAUCGUAAAACUCUUUUGUUAGGGAAGAAAAGAUGUGUAAGUAUCUAUGGACGUCUUGACGGUACCUAAUCAGAAAGCCACGGCUAACUACGUG